UACGAGGGGGCAAGCGUUGUUCGGAAUUACUGGGCGUAAAGGGCGCGUAGGCGGCCUUCUAAGUCGGACGUGAAAUCCCUCGGCUUAACCGAGGAACUGCGUCCGAUACUGAAAGGCUUGAAUCCGGGAGAGGGAUGUGGAAUUCCAGGUGUAGCGGUGAAAUGCGUAGAUAUCUGGAGGAACACCGGUGGCGAAGGCGGCAUCCUGGACCGGUAUUGACGCUGAGGCGCGAAAGCUAGGGGAGCAAACGGG
rnacentral:rRNA from 1 species